AGUGAACGCUGGCGGUAGGCCUAACACAUGCAAGUCGAACGGCAGCACAGUAAGAGCUUGCUCUUACGGUUGGCGAGUGGCGGACGGGUGAGGAAUACAUCGGAAUCUACUUUUUCGUGGGUGAUAACGUAGGGAAACUUACGCUAAUAGCGCAUACGACCUACGGGUGAAAGCAGUGGAUCUUCGCACCUUGCGCGAUUGAAUGAGCCGAUGUCGGAUUAGCUAGUUGGCGGGGUAAAGGCCCACCAAGGCGACGAUCCGUAGCUGGUCUGAGAGGAUGAUCAGCCACACUGGAACUGAGACACGGUCCAGACUCCUACGGGAGGCAGCAGUGGGGAAUAUUGGACAAUGGGCGCAAGCCUGAUCCAGCCAUACCGCGUGAGUGAAGAAGGCCUUCGGGUUGUAAAGCCCUUUUGUUGGGAAAGAAAAGCAGCAGGUUAAUACCCCGCUGUUCUGACGGUACCCAAAGAAUAAGCACCGGCUAACUUCGUG
rnacentral:rRNA from 1 species